CCUACGGGAGGCAGCAGUGGGGAAUAUUGCGCAAUGGGCGAAAGCCUGAAGCAGCGAAGCCGCGUGAGGGAUGAAGGUCUUCGGAUCGUAAACCUCUGUCAGCAGGGAAGCACGGUCACUGUGCUAAUCAGCAGUGAAUUGACGGUACCUGCUAAGCAUGCACCGGCUAACUCCGUGCCAGCAGCCGCGGGCAUACGGUGGGUGCGUGCGUUAAUCGGAAUUACUGGGCGUAAAGCGCUCGUAGGCGGUAUGUCAAGUCAAGGGUGAAAUCCCCGCGCUCAACGUGGGAACUGCCUUUGAAACGGGCAAACUUGAGUGUGUGAGAGGAUAGUGGAAUUCCAGGUGUAGGAGUGAAAUCCGUAGAUAUCUGGAGGAACAUCAGUGGCGAAGGCGACUAUCUGGCACAUAACUGACGCUGAGGAGCGAAAGCGUGGGUAGCAAACAGGAUUAGAUACCCUUGUAGUC
rnacentral:rRNA from 1 species